rnacentral:rRNA from 1 species
UACGUAGGGUCCGAGCGUUGUCCGGAAUUACUGGGCGUAAAGCGCGCGUAGGCGGUGAUCUUUGUCAGAGGUGAAAUCCCGAGGCUCAACUUCGGAAUUGCCUUUGAAACGGGAUCGCUUGAGUCCGAGAGAGGAUGGCGGAAUUCCUAGUGUAGAGGUGAAAUUCGUAGAUAUUAGGAAGAACACCGGUGGCGAAGGCGGCCAUCUGGCUCGGUACUGACGCUCAGGCGCGAAAGCGUGGGGAGCAAACAGG